UUGCUUAUUUAUGAUAUUUCGGACUCGGGAGGUUGAAGCAGUAUGUUGCGCCGAAGUCUGUAUUUGCUAAGGAAAUAUAGUUGGAUCCGAAGAAACAAGAGGUUGUUUUGUUCAAAGAUAGCAUGAGUUUAAUGGGAAGUAUUUGAUUCAUCUUGGAGCAAACGCCGAUGAUGAUAGCAUAGGAGCAAGGAAAUUAAAGAAGCUGAUCCUGUUCAACAGUUGAAGGCUUUAAUCAAGGAUUCUAAUCAAACAUACCAGACAAGUCAUCCCGAAGUUCGAACGGAAGAAUAUUGUGCUAGAGAUUAUUAACAGGAAGGAGGAUAUGAUCCUGCUAAAUUGGCAUUAUAAAGACUGAGAAGUUCCUCAAAUAGUAUCAAUUACUGGUUUAUAUUAUCAUUAUAAUCUCCUUGGUUUAAGCAACAAGCAAGCGCCAACAUAAAAUAUACAAAAUAAAGAUCAUACAAUCUGGCAUUAUUCAUUUACUACUAGAUUUGUUUAUCAAGCAUUAACAUAAUAUCUGAUUAUCCAACCAUUGCUUAUAUGACACUGACUGAUAAAAUAUUACAUGUCCAUUAAAUUAGUGGAAAAUGAUUGCAGGAAUGAAUCAAAAUAUUGCACUGAAUAGCUGCCGUGGCUGCUGGAAGACAUAGAGACAGGAAGAUAACAAUAAAAGAAUGCAGCCAUUUUUUGAUGCUGAAAUUGCAAGAGUUGAGCAAGGUGUGUCCAAAACAAAGCACCUUUCCAACUUUUCUACUGCUUUUCCUUGCAGCAGUGUUCAGAAUAUUUUGUUGCAAAUACAUUUAACCCAUUUGAUCUGUUACCAAGUAAAGUAGCUGAUAUAUCUUAUACAGUAUGUUAUUCUAUGAGACAUGAGAGAAGUUAUGAAACCAAGGUGGAUGAACUUUCAAUAGUUUUGCACUAUCAUCUGUACUUAAAAGAGGCCUAACUUCCAGCAGAACUUAUGCACUGAUUAAAUGUUGGAGCUAUGUUCUCAAAACAUAGGUACUCGUGUCAGAUUCGGGCAUGUGUCUCAGUGUUACAUUUAACUUCAUUUGAUAACUUCCCAUGUUUUUUCUUAACGAUACCUAUGUCAGAGUGUCAAGGAUCUAACAUGUAUGGGUACCGUAUUAAAAGCAAAGUUGAAUUAACUUAGAGUCCAAAACUAGAGAUUAAAAGGAUGGAGUUGCAAAUCUACUUGAUAAAAUGAAUAAAUAAAUAAAACCACAUGAUAUAUCAAUAAAUUUUGCCACGGACAUUAUCCAAAUUCAGGCACCAAAAUAUUCCUCAGGUACAAAUUUAAUAAUUUACACCAAACCAAGCUUACUCAUAUUAUUGCUAUCCUAAAAACAACGGACUCUACAGAGCCUGGAGCACUCCAUUCUGAUAAGCGUCGAAACUAGAUACAGGUGUGUUAACUAUAGAGUUUAUGUCUCCCCAGCUGCUACUUCCUGCAGAAUUGCUAGUAGUGCUACUAUUGCCUACAUCAAUACCACCUGAGUAGCUCUCAUUUCCAUCAAUACUUUGCUGGUUACUGAAGUAUACUUCAAGUUCCCCAGCAAAAUUUUCCUGUCCUUGAUUAUGCAUUCUCAUACCAGGAACAUCAUAUUGAUCUGUGUUUAACCAUUGUGUAAAAUUCAUGUUCGCUGUCGAAUUCAUGGCUAAUGCUUGAACUUCAGACUUGUCCACAACAUAAAGCUGGUCUUGUGUGGGAUACUGGAAAUUGUUGAGUUGAGCAUCAUCAUAGAGUUGUCCCUCAAUUUUCAUCAUUAAUCUUGUGUAUUGUUCUUGAUUUCCGAGAUGAUGAACAUCAUGAUUUGGAUGUAUCAUGGGGAUUGAUAAUGUUUGAUGUUCUGACCAGUAAGGCAGUUGAUUCAUAGUCUGAUUAACCAGAUAAGUUUCACUCUCCCUCUCCCUCUUUAUCUCCUGCUCGAGAAGACGAGAAACUGCCUGCUCUUUCCUUUGCUUAACCAUCAGCUUCUUCUUCAGCCUUGUGUUCCAGUAGUUCUUGAUAUCAUUGUCUGUCCUUCCAGGUAAUUGUGCAGCAAUGAUAGACCAUCUGUAUAUUUACAUAAUAAUAUAAUCAGCAUACAUAUCUUAUAAAUCAUAAAACUAAACAAGAAACUUUCUGAUUGGUUGAAAUACUUAUGACAGCAGUCACAGCACCACAUCACCCUUAGAUAUGUAGAAGGAAAAAACAAUAUUUCUUUCCCAAAAAUAACUGGACUGUCGCAAGGGUGGAAGGACGACCUCACAACCACUAGACCAACCUUUAUCCUCCAACCCUGAUCCUUACAUAGGGCUUGCUAAGUUGCUAAGGUCCUUGUAUUUUUACUUUCUUUAUUGUAAUGAAAGGGGUGGAUAAUAAGUUACCUGCUCCCAAUACUGACAUACAGGCUGCAGAUGAUGUUUUCUUCCUCUUCAGUGAACCCUCCAUGCUUAAUAUUUGGUCGGAGGUAAUUCAACCAACGAAGACGACAACUCUUACCACAUCUCUUAAGGCCUAAACCAAGCAAGAACAAGUUGAAAAAUCCAGGUCAAUAUUCAAAGGGAAACAAAAGUAUUAAGAAGAAGAGAAGGAACGACUAGGUUGCCAAGGUUGGUGCGAGAUGUCUAGGGAGGGAUUGUGUUCGGUUAGAGUGAGAUAGAAUGGGCUUGUUAUAAGAAAGUAGGCUUGGGUUUGUCCAACUUAUGUUAAAAUUAGACCGCCUAUUAUAAUAACUUGUGUAAAAAGUUAUACUGUUUUCGUUUUUAUUAUUAAGUUAUCACAUCUUAACUUUUGCAUUA